GUUACUCAUUUCUAUAUUCUACCCCCUUCCUUCUAUGCCUGUCUCCAAGAUCUUGAAAAGGGCCCUGCCUCUAGUCGGAGCUGGAUACGUUUUUGUUGAAUAAAGGAUUGAGAUCAGAAAAAAAGAAACACAACAGGAUGAUUUCCAUCAAGAGCUGCUGCUUUUGAGCAGCUGUCAGCUUCUAAAGCUGUGGCUCUAGUUCUCAAAUUCCAUGCUGGUGAUUUGGACUUCCCAAAGCCCCCUGGUUGCCAUGCAGAUGAUCAGAGGAUCUUUGAUCUGAAACUGGAAAGAACCCUGAAAAUGAAGGUCCGGAGAGUAAGUGGAUUGCCCAGGCAGAAUUUAGCAGAACUGGGCUUUGAACCCAAGUCACAGGACUAAGUCAGGCUCCAAAUGAAAUCAGGACAAGAACAAAUGAGUUCUUCACCUAACAGAAAAUGCCAAACCAGUUAUAAAGGAAAACUCAAAAGCCUUGCCUAAAAAAUUAUGAAACUGAUUGACAGGGACUCCUACAUCAGUGCCUUGGCUGUCAGAAAAAAUUGGCUCCUACCUUCCCUGCAGUCUUCUCAUUCCCAUGUAAAUUCUUUAGAUUAAACCAUGGGUGUCCCUCACCAGCUGGAGUUCAGUCUACAAUGAACCAGCAAAAAAUUCCAUUGUCUCAUUCUCUGAAAGCUGUGCUUGGACUCUGAAGAUAGAGGCAAGAAAAUUCCCUUCUGUGUCAAAGCUGUCAAAUUAGGCAUCAGCGGGAAGAUGUCAGGGGCCCCUAAAAUCUCAUUCUCCUUUAAUUGCCAACUAUGGGGGAGCAAACAUUCAGCAGCCCAGCUUUGAGCUGGCCACCUGUUAGAGGUUUCAAUAACUGACCCGCCUGGGAGAGAUGCCAAAUCUGGCUUCCUGAAGCCUUCAUCUACACUUUUGACAAGGUGAAGGGGAGGUAACCAUGAUCCUGAUACUGUGACAUGUGAAAACCUGGGUAUUUUCCUGGUCUCACUAGGGGAAAAGGCUUUUUUGAGUGACUACUCCCUUUACUGUUUGUCUCCACACUAUAAAUAAGAAUGAGGAGGCGAACUCAUCCCAGGCAAUUUAUUUACUGCAAGGUUAGCUGAGGGGAAAGAGUUACAGGAAGAUGUGUCUCUGACUUUUAAGGACAUUCUAAACAUUGUUUCCUUUAUAUUCAGAUUUUAAAUAAUUGAUGGUUUUCACUUACAAAUAUUUGGUGCCAGAAAGUGCUUGAUUCAGUUAAAUUCAGUUAGAAAAAUCUUUAUUAAACACCUAAUGCUUUUCAUGAAGGGUCCUGAGCUCAGUCAACACAAGGGCAGAUGCAAUUACAGAAUAACAAAAUCUCCCAAGCCAAGAAAGGACUUCAGAGGGAAGAUCUUCUUCCACAUUCAAGGCAUGUGGUCACUGAAGAUCCCUCAAGAACAAUUUACUACCUCCCUAGGCAAACCAUUCCAUUGUAGAACAGCUUCAGUUCUUAGGGACUGAAUCUCUAAGUCUAGCCUGUCUCUCUUCUGGAAUUUUCCUCUCUAAUCUGAUCAUGUGGAGAUAAGCAAAAUAAAUAUAGCCUUUAUUCCUCAUAAUAACUUUUUAUUUAAAAAAUAAAACAACUGUAUCAACUUCCCCUCCCCUUAACUAUCUCCUGAAUCUUCUCUCCUCAAGACCAAACAUCCCUAGUUCCUUCAAAUACUGUUAUAUAAUGAAGUGUUACAAAUUAUAUAAACCAUCAUUGUUGUCUUGAGUCAGUACAAUUUUGACCUUAUCAAUAUUUUUCUUAAAAAUUUUGCCCCCCCAAAUGAUUAAAAUAUUAGUCUUGCCUUCAUGUAUGUUACUGUCAUCCAGAAGAUUCAAUGUGGAAGAAACCUCAGAAACCUUUUAAUUUCAUGCCCUGAUUUUACAGAUGACGAAACCAAAUCCUAAAGAGGUAAAAGAACUUCCUCAUGGCCACAUAGAGUUAAGGAUUAAUAGGAUCCAUGUCUUUGGGCAUCUUAUUCACUUUAGCACAUGACUUUCUUAGUUGAAUAGAUAAAACAUGAACACAUAUGGCUACUGUACCACAAAAUGUUGGUAAAAGCAUCAAGGGAGAGGGGAAGUUAAUGUUCUUCUGGUGGCAUUGAGGAAGC